rnacentral:rRNA from 1 species
GCGAACGCUGGCGGCAGGCUUAACACCUGCCAGUCGAACGGGCAUCUUCGGAUGUCAGUGGCAGACGGGUGAGUAACACGUGGGAACGUACCCUUCGGUUCGGAAUAACUCAGGGAAACUUGAGCUAAUACCGGAUACGCCCUUUUGGGGAAAGGUUUACUGCCGAAGGAUCGGCCCGCGUCUGAUUAGCUUGUUGGUGGGGUAACGGCCUACCAAGGCGACGAUCAGUAGCUGGUCUGAGAGGAUGAUCAGCCACACUGGGACUGAGACACGGCCCAGACUCCUACGGGAGGCAGCAGUGGGGAAUAUUGGACAAUGGGCGCAAGCCUGAUCCAGCCAUGCCGCGUGAGUGAUGAAGGCCUUAGGGUUGUAAAGCUCUUUUGUCCGGGACGAUAAUGACGGUACCGGAAGAAUAAGCCCCGGCUAACUUCGU